rnacentral:tRNA from 1 species
GGCUCCAUAGUGUAGUGGUUAGCAUGUCUGCUUUACACACAGAAAGUCCUCGGUUUGCACCCCAGGUGAAGCCA